AAUUAAAUUUUUUAUCCAUUUAAAAAUUGGCAUGACUAAUGGAAUAACUAGUAGCUACAUAUGGCAUGUCACGUGUACCUCAUGUCGACGUAUAUGAACCAUAUUUUAACAAUAGAAAUGGAUGAAAUUUUUAACA
rnacentral:pre_miRNA from 1 species